AGGUUUCGUCACUGCCCUUCACAACCCCCUCCCGUGUUACUCGGGGUCCGAUGUUGCGUCCUCGGUCGAAGAUAAGAGACAGCGCUAAUCCUCACGGGGACAAAAAAAGGACACACAGAUCAGUGGGACGUAACUGAUAGCGCUGGACGUCAGACGCGCUGUCCUCACCAGGCCUAUCGGCGCGUGAACAGGAGACGAGACGAUCUGUUCCCUUUUUACUGGAGCUUUGCGGCACAAGAUAAAUCAGCCAGCCUCGGCCUCGGCCUGGUAAACACUCACAGCUCUCGAGUUAUCAGAGACGAAUAGAAGGAACGUUAUCCUGCAAAGGGAAUUCCCCUGGUGUUUAGUAAGAUCAGUGCAGCGCGUGGAGCUCUGAACUCGGCUAAUGGGAUCCUAGCUUAGGCACUCGAGGAGGAGAAGAAGAAAAGAUGAUGCGUUACGUCUAAAGGAACGGUGUGAAGAUGACACAAAAGAUUUCACAUCACAGGCCUACUCAGAUGUAUUAUUUUUUAAAUUCACACUGCAUAUUAGUCUUGUAAAUCACAAAUGAGUGUUAUCAGUGUUUACAGUUUGUUUCCUGCUCCCUGUGACCCGAGAGAUUAUCUUCCCUUCUCUCAAGAUAAGCGCUAAUCAAUUGGUUAGAAAUGCAGAAAACGCAGGACAAAAGGUCGAUCUCGGCGGAAAAUACAGCGAGCUUGGCAUUUGAGGCACAUCUGCAGAAGACAGGCAUCACUCAUAAAGAGGAGGAUGAAGGGGAGGAAGAGUGAACGGACGUCCGCGGCAUGGGAAAAUCACGUGUGCUACAUUUCAGCAGAGACACACUGUACGUGGGAUCAUAAGAACUGUUCCAGCGCCGCUUUGGCGCCAAUAUGGAUUUAGAAGCCGUUUCAUUUGAGGCCCUACGGAGAAGAUUGAAACGUGUUCCCUCCUAAUGAGUUCUCUAGGAUUACGGUCUAAUCCGGACCACAGAUUUGAUUUAACAGAUCCGGCGCUGAGCGUAUCGGCCUCGCAGACACGCUAACAAGCCGAUCGCGUGACAGACAGCUAGCAGAGUGAUGGCUGAUUACCGGAAAUUUCUCCUCAGUCCUCACUCGCUGUGCUUACACAAGCUGACGCGAUUCGAGACGGAGAAAUAAGAAACAAUAAAACUCUUGUGUGUGAGGGAUAAACACGCCGCGUCGUGCUGUUGUAGGAAAACGAUCGACGACAGAGUUACAAGUUGAUUUAUUUUCACAUGGCAAAAAGUUUUGUUACUCUUAUUCUACAGCAAUUCGCCGACAGUGAAAAUGCUCUCUUUAUGAAAGAACAACAGGUGAUACUUUUUAUCUGUUUAUAGCUACAUUUAAUGUUACGUUAAUUCAUGUUCUCGAUUGUGUUAUAGUAGCUAUAAAUUGUUGUUCCCUCAUCAACCCGUUUGUUUUUUUUGCCUCUCUGGAAGCUCGUAUAUUGUAUGAACACCAAAAAAAAAAAAAAUCGCCACUUUCGUACAGAAUUUUUUUUUUUCAUGAUCGUUGCAGCGAAACAAUGUUUGAUUUUGCGGCGGCUUUUUUCUAAAUUUACUGUGCGACUUUUUUUCUUUUGGCUAGUUUUUUUUUUGUGUGUGUUUUUUUCUCGAAUUGGCAAAAUCGCAGUCGCACGGAAUUGUUCGGCACGGUCUUUCGCAGCGAUGUUUGUUGGUAAACGAGACCUUUUCACCGUACUCAAUUUCGACGCACGUGAAUCGGAGACGGUGUCGGCUGAACGCCCGUCGUGAUGAUGUCACGCGGCUCCGGAUAUCACAGGGUCCUGUGAAAGUCAUGCACGGACUGCCUGAAAACGUACCGACUGUUGCAAAGCCUUGACACUGGAGACUACUUCCGAGAAUGACACACUGCAUCGACAAUUCCACAUUUUGUUUUUGCUGUUACUAUGGAAACGAUAACAUAUUCAAACGAGCACACGGAUAUAUGGUAUAGCACUCCUGUCAGAGCUGCCGUUAGACAUCGGGUCAACCUUCCGACCAAUCAGAAUCCAAUAUAAAUAUAAGUACUGAGGUCACUGUAAUUGAGGUAAUUGUUGCUAAUGCUAUCCACCUCGUGGCUCUGUCAGGAGAGGCGGCGAUACGGCAGUGAUAAAGUUAGAACUAAACUUGUUUUAAAGGCGGGAAGCCGAAGCCGAGGCCGUAUCGCUCUGUGUAAUGGUGUUACCCGGGCUGGUUGUCUGCUGGGAGAGCGAUACGGCCUCCGUCGGAAAUGCUGAGGCGAAAAAAACUGCAGGGUCGACUGCACUCUGCGGCCAAAGGUUGCACCAAAGUUAAUUACUGUGCACCGAACUUAUUUUGUCGCCCUCGUGGGAUUUCCUAAGCUUGAAAAUAAAGCAGUGACUCGUGAAUUUGUGGCUUUUCCUUUUUCCCUACAAUCUCAGGCCACAAUAAAUGAGCGUGAGUAUAGGUUUGAGUUUCUCCCUCCUCUUCUCCUCUUUCAAAGCCGGCCAUUUUGUUUUACCUGCAAAGGUUUUGGGGUUUUUUUUUUUUUCCUCCUUUUUUCCGGUCUCUCCCUUCUUCCCUCCCCUGCCGCUAUCUAAUUAUUUUCCUUUUGUCUGAAGUAAAAGCUCUGCGGGUCAUUACCUUCCUCUUCCACUUUAACUCAGCCGUGGUCCUUAAAAAAAGCUCAGAGAGACGUUGGAGUGGGCUUCGAAAGACAAAAAAAAAAAAGAGGAUUAAGUCCGGUAGUUUUUGUAAAUCAUUGACACCUGAAAAGGACUUUUAAUCAGUCCGCACUCCCGGCUAAAGAAUUUUCUCAUUUUUGCGGCGCUAAUUUAGAGCUGGAUUUAAGCGUACCUCCGGGAUUAAUCAACCCGCCGGCCUUGGAGGAUUCUUUAUAUGAAUUUUUUUUUAAAAAGCCACGCUUAAGCGUUGCCCAUCGGAGAGACGGAAGCACACGAGUGUGAAAAGUGAUUUUCCUGAGGGACGGGAUACAAAUAUCCUUAUUUGCAUUUAGAAAAUCCAUCAACUUUAUGAAAUGUUUAGCGAGCGGCGCGGCGCUUGCACAGUUUCGCUUUUAAUAGGGACGACGGCUUAAGCGCCGCAUUACAUCUUUCUUCUCCUCUUGAAAUUGUCACUCUGUAAUCCCUUCAGUGAGGAGUAAUGCGGCGAGAUUACAGCCAUAACCCCAGAUUCCUCAGCGAGAUCGUUCAAGUGGAGACGGAGGAAGAUUCACGCAAACUUUAAUCGCCGCUGUUGACGGGGAACGUAUCGACAUCAGGAUGGUAACCGUAACGCCCGUCACUGAUCCAUUUCCUGUCACAGCAUGACACAGGGCGUUUUAUUUCUUAUAUACGUUACAUUUACUCCGAUCACCCUGCUCAAAAGUUUACACCCCCCACCCCCACCCCCCCCCAAACCCCGGUUCUUAAAGUGUCGCGUUGCCUUCUCGAGCAUCGGUGGACAUUCGCACCUUCCGUAAUAGUCGUGUACGAGUCCCUCGGUGUCCUCGGUGUGAAAAGACGGAUCUCGACAUCAUAUAGUCGCUGUUGGAAAUGGGUCGAAUACUGUAUGUAGAAGAUGCUGGAAAAGUAAAGAAUGUGCCGGACCUGGAGGAUCUUUCUGAAGAACAGUUUAACCGCUCAGGACGAACAAGUGACUCGUGACCGACUAUCGCACAGCGGUUGAUCAUCCAGGAAUUAAUCAAGGGUGUGUAAACUUUUGAACUGUUGAGUUGAAUGACAGACGUUUCUAUUAACGUUGUGAAAAAUCCAUCGUCUGAUUUGAUGUCAUUUAUAAAAAGGCACGCUGUAGCGCCGUUCAUGUUUAUACGCGGUUAGCGACCUGUUAACUACACUAGCGUUGAUGCUAGUUAGCUAGCUAAUUAGGAAGUGGUUAGUGUUAAUUAUGUAGAUAUUAGCUUGCUGUUACUAUUAGCUGUUUGUUCUCUUCUUGAAAUUGCUGAUCCGUAAUCCCUUCAGCUGAACAUCGCAGUAAUGCUAAAGAAGGAUUUCUUUUUAGCGAGUGAGACGAGUGAGAGUUUAAACGCUUCGGGAAUACGUUAUUGUGGACUUCACACGUAGCACGCGGCGUGUUCGGGAUGUGCCGGAGGUCUGAGCAGAAAAACAGCGAAGGAUUUAAUAACACAGAACAGACUCUGUCCAUCUGGGGGAGUUCAGGGGGGGUCAUUAAUCCGUCUCUCGCUGUGCAGCAUGAGGCAUAGCUCAAACGGACAGUAGACAAAAGGAGCUGUCUCACUCCCUCUCGCUUCUCUUUCUUUCAUCUACGUCGAAAAGGAUUAGCUUGUUUUUAGGAAUUCGCUUUAUUUCACAUCUUUACGAGCGUCCAAAUCUAACACGAGGCGGCUUAUUCAAACCGCGAACGAGAUUAGUCCAGGAUAGUCCCAACCGAACGUGCUGUAAAUACGUGAACGGGCCUGAUAAUGCACCUCAGCGGCUUUAUCUGUAACAAUCAGGAGUAAUGGAAGCUAAAUGCCAAGCCGAGUCCAGUUUACAACCACUUUAUGUCUCUGGUUAAAGGAAAACUCCACUCUGAAACAUGUUAAAUACGUUUGCAUUGAAAGGUCUGAGAUGUGAUUAGUCCAUCUGGAGGUCAGUGGUCUAUUUUCGCUGUUCCUGCGAGAGGUUUUGUGUGGCACCGAUGUCACGUCGUUAUUGCUAGCGCAGUUCCAGUGGAGGCGAUAAUCGUUCGAUUUUGUUUUUAGCUCUGUUUGUUUCUUACUCGCUACAAACGUGAAUUUAUAUUGAUAAGAAUUCCAGCGUAGAAGAAGUGGAGAUGCUGGCACAAAGGCUGGAUUCAAAGACCCGGAAUGCAAUGCGGUCGCACGCGUUACGGCUCGGCUAGUCAGCGAGCGACGAGGUGACGAGCGAUGGCGAUGGCGUCGAAGGCCGUAUUAGCCUGAGCGUUGGAAGCUGACCGGUUUGAGCAGAGUGCACAGACGAUGAGGAGGUGAAAAUGCCGGACAGGCUAAAACGCUAAAGCGCCGCCGCAUCGCUCUCUUCAGCUG
ensembl:lncRNA